GUGCUGCCUGCUAGUGUAGAAGGAUCUCUGGUUGGAGAUUCUUUCCUUGUGGAGUCUUUCCUGUGAGCCUAGAUGUUUGGAGACAGCAGGGUGCUGCUGCUCCUUGUUAAACAGGUAGACACACGGGUGCUUUUGUGGCAGCUGCUGUUUUGUGCUCUGGAUGGACUUUGUCCUCAGUCUUCCCAAAUUGCCCUUUGUGGGCUGCCACAACCAAGCCCUGGGAAAUUCUUGUGAGUUUGAAGCUCACCUGCUCAUGUUGGCUGUCAUGUGCAGUACGCUUGUUUUUGAUUGCAUCUCAUCUGUCCCAAAGCUAACACAGAAUCAGCCCUUUAGAGUGUGAGAACAGCCACCAUAGCAGAGAGACGACAGGAAGAACAAGUGCUUGAGUUAAUGUGUGUACUAGACCAACAGAUGAACAACUUCCUGGAAAGCAACCACAGUGGAAUGAACUAGAGUUAUAAAUAAAGCAUUGCUAGUGCAUGUACGGCAAGUCUGGAAGCUUGUCAUAGCGCCUGCUUUUUAUUAUGCUGUUUUUUGUCAGUGUUUGACACAUGCCCUGGCUUGUAGUAGAGCAACAUUUGUGCGCUCUUGUUUUCCCAAAAAAAAAAAAGUGAGCCUGCUUUGUUCCAUUCAGGAAACAAAAUCUGCAACCAUGCAUUUAAAAAAACUGGGGAACACAUUGUACAGCCAGCGUUUAUCCUCUGACAGCCAUGUUCCAAGAGGGAAUGGAUUUUUAAACACAGGUGUUUGGAGGAAGUUUUCAACUUGGCCUAAAAGAAUUUGUCAGGCCUGUGAACCCCACAAAACCCUGCUAGAGAUGGUUCACAGUUGGUUUGUGGCAGAGGCAGGCAUACUGGCCUGAUGCUGGAGCACCACACUACCUGAGGAAGAGUUGGCCUUGUAAGCUGGAGCAGUGUCGGAAGGGCUGGCAAGAUCUGCCAGCUUGAACCAGGACUUCUUCCACCAUUCCUGGAAGCACUAUGUUGAGGAGGAGCUGGAGCAGAUAAGAAUGCUUUGGCUAGAGGAAAGAGUUGUUAUUGCUUUUGUUUUGCUCCUCAAUCAGCAGUCAGAUGAUUGAAUUUGCAGUACAUAAGGCUACAGCAACAAUAGCCUUCCUCUUAAUAAAAAGCUAGCACCUUACAAAGGGUGAGCAGUUGCUGUCUGUAGUGUGUGGUCUUAGUUCUUCUAAUAGAAAGUAAGCAUUUGUCUCCAUAAGCAGGA
ensembl:lncRNA